AUUGAACGCUGGCGGCAUGCUUUACACAUGCAAGUCGAACGGUAACAGGGAGCUGGAUCCGCUGACGAGCGGAGAACGGGUGAGUAAUUCGUCGGAACGUGCCGGGUGGUGGGGGAUAACGCAUAGCAAGGUGUGCUAAUACCGCAUCCGAACGGAGGUUGGAAGGGGGGGAACGUCGGGCCGCACGCUAUUCGAGCCGCCGACGACUGAUUAGUUAGUUGGUGAGGUAAAGGCUCACCAAGGCGACGAUCAGUAGCGGGGCUGAGAGGAUGAUCCGCCACACUGGGACGGAGACACGGCCCAGACUCCUACGGGAGGCAGCAGUGGGGAAUUUUGGACAAUGGGCGCAAGCCUGAUCCAGCCAUGCCGGUUGUCUGAAGAAGGCCUUCGGGUUGUAAAGGACUUUUGUCCGGGAGCAAAUGCUGGUGGCUAACAUCUACCGGAGCUGACAGUACCGGAAGAAUAAGCACCGGCUAACUACGUGCCAGCCGCCGCCGUAAAAC
rnacentral:rRNA from 1 species